rnacentral:rRNA from 1 species
UACGAGGGGGGCGAGCGUUGUUCGGAAUUAUUGGGCGUAAAGGGAGCGUAGGCGGUUCGGCAAGUCUCUAGUGAAAUCUCUGGGCUCAACCCAGAGUCUGCUGGGGAAACUGCCGGGCUUGAGUAUGGGAGAGGUGAGUGGAAUUCCCGGUGUAGCGGUGAAAUGCGUAGAUAUCUGCAGGAACACCCGUGGCGAAGGCGGCUGGCUGGACCGCAACUGACGCUGAGGAGCGAAAGCUAGGGGAGCAAACAGG